rnacentral:rRNA from 1 species
AACGAACGCUGGCGGCAUGCCUUACACAUGCAAGUCGAACGGUAACGCGGGGCAACCUGGCGACGAGUGGCGAACGGGUGAGUAAUGCAUCGGAACGUGCCUGGUAGUGGGGGAUAACUGCUCGAAAGAGCAGCUAAUACCGCAUACGACCUGAGGGUGAAAGGGGGGGAUCGCAAGACCUCUCACUAUCAGAGCGGCCGAUGUCGGAUUAGCUAGUUGGUGGGGUAAAGGCCCACCAAGGCAACGAUCCGUAGCUGGUCUGAGAGGACGACCAGCCAAACUGGGACUGAGACACGGCCCAGACUCCUACGGGAGGCAGCAGUGGGGAAUUUUGGACAAUGGACGCAAGUCUGAUCCAGCCAUGCCGCGUGCGGGAAGAAGGCCUUCGGGUUGUAAACUGCUUUUGUCAGGGAAGAAAUCUUCUGGGCUAAUACCCUGGGAGGAUGACGGUACCUGAAGAAUAAGCACCGGCUAACUACGUGCCAGCCGCCGCAGUAAGAC